rnacentral:rRNA from 1 species
UACGUAGGGUGCGAGCGUUGUCCGGAAUUAUUGGGCGUAAAGGGCUCGUAGGCGGUUUGUCGCGUCGGGAGUGAAAUCCACUGGCUUAACUGGUGGCUUGCUUUCGAUACGGGCAGACUGGAGGUAUGCAGGGGAGAACGGAAUUCCUGAGUAGCUGGUGGAAAUGCGCAGAUAUCAGGAGGAACACCGGUGGCGAAGGCGGUUCUCUGGGCAUGUCCUGACGCUGAGGAGCGAAAGUGUGGGGAGCGAACAGG